AGAGUUUGAUCAUGGCUCAGGAUGAACGCUAGCUACAGGCUUAACACAUGCAAGUCGAGGGGCAGCGCUGGGGUUGCUUGCAACCCCUGGCGGCGACCGGCGCACGGGUGAGUAACGCGUAUCCAACCUGCCCCCAACCGCCGCACAGCCCGCCGAAAGGCGGAUUAAUUCGGCAUGAGGUCCGGCGACGGCAUCAUAUCCGGACGAAAGGUUUCUUACCGGUUGGGGAUGGGGAUGCGUCCGAUUAGGCAGCAGGCGGGGUGACGGCCCACCUGGCCCGCGAUCGGUAGGGGUUCUGAGAGGAAGGUCCCCCACAUUGGAACUGAGACACGGUCCAAACUCCUACGGGAGGCAGCAGUGAGGAAUAUUGGUCAAUGGGCGCAGGCCUGAACCAGCCAAGUAGCGUGUGGGACGACGGCCCUACGGGUUGUAAACCACUUUUGCGCGGGGAUAACAAGCGGGACUUGUCCCGCCCUGCAGGUACCGCGCGAAUAAGGACCGGCUAAUUCCGUGCCAGCAGCCGCGGUAAUACGGAAGGUCCGGGCGUUAUCCGGAUUUAUUGGGUUUAAAGGGAGCGUAGGCGGGAUGUCAAGCGUGCUGUGAAAAGCUGCGGCUCAACCGUAGUCGUGCAGCGCGAACUGGCUUCCUUGAGUGCGCGGGAGGCACGCGGAAUUCGUGGUGUAGCGGUGAAAUGCUUAGAUAUCACGAAGAACCCCGAUUGCGAAGGCAGCGUGCCGUAGCGUUACUGACGCUGAAGCUCGAAGGUGCGGGUAUCGAACAGGAUUAGAUACCCUGGUAGUCCGCACGGUAAACGAUGGAUGCCCGCUGUCUGCCCCUUGUGGCGGGUGGCCAAGCGAAAGCGUUAAGCAUCCCACCUGGGGAGUACGCCGGCAACGGUGAAACUCAAAGGAAUUGACGGGGGCCCGCACAAGCGGAGGAACAUGUGGUUUAAUUCGAUGAUACGCGAGGAACCUUACCCGGGCUUGAACUGCAGAGGAAGCCGCCGGAGACGGCGUCGCCCUUCGGGGCCUCUGUGGAGGUGCUGCAUGGUUGUCGUCAGCUCGUGCCGUGAGGUGUCGGCUUAAGUGCCAUAACGAGCGCAACCCCUCUCCGUAGUUGCCAUCGGGUGAUGCCGGGCACUCUGCGGACACUGCCACCGCAAGGUGUGAGGAAGGUGGGGACGACGUCAAAUCAGCACGGCCCUUACGUCCGGGGCUACACACGUGUUACAAUGGGGCGUACAGAAAGCCGGCGCGACGCAAGCCGCGUCCAAUCCUCAAACCGCCCCUCAGUUCGGACUGGGGUCUGCAACCCGACCCCACGAAGCUGGAUUCGCUAGUAAUCGCGCAUCAGCCAUGGCGCGGUGAAUACGUUCCCGGGCCUUGUACACACCGCCCGUCAAGCCAUGAAAGCCGGGGGCGCCUGAAGUCCGUGACCGCGAGGGUCGGCCUAGGGUGAAACCGGUGAUUGGGGCUAAGUCGUAACAAGGUAGCCGUACCGGAAGGUGCGGCUGGAACACCUCCUU
rnacentral:rRNA from 1 species